rnacentral:rRNA from 1 species
CAGCAGCCGCGGUAAUACGUAGGUGGCAAGCGUUGUCCGGAAUUAUUGGGCGUAAAGGGCUCGCAGGCGGUUUCUUAAGUCUGAUGUGAAAGCCCCCGGCUCAACCGGGGAGGGUCAUUGGAAACUGGGAAACUUGAGUGCAGAAGAGGAGAGUGGAAUUCCACGUGUAGCGGUGAAAUGCGUAGAGAUGUGGAGGAACACCAGUGGCGAAGGCGACUCUCUGGUCUGUAACUGACGCUGAGGAGCGAGAGCGUGGGGAGCGAACAGGAUUAGAGACCCCGGUAGUCCCUGUCUCUUAUAC